CAAAAGCGUGCCAGCUUAUGAAAAUGCUGUUAAUGACUCUUUUGAGCGAUGUAUGGAUCUCUACAUGUCAUAUAGGCCUUGGAAAAAAUGUCUUAACAUUGACCCCGAGUCUUUGACAUCCAUGUUAUCUAGCCGGAAGGAUCUUAAGCCUUGUCAAGUGACAUGUUAUCUUGAGUACAAAGGUUAUGAGGGUGCAGCUGUGUCAAUUUCUGCUGAAGCUUCAGGGCAGUGGAUUGCUUCAGGUGCAUGUGAUCUCACAUAUUCUUCUUUCUUUGAAUUUCAUGACUUUUAGACUCACCAAAUCUCAUUCUCGUCUUCUAUUGUGGCAAAUGAAGGUUCUGCUGAUGGAACUGUUCGCAUUUGGGAGGUUUGAAACUGGCAGAUGUUGUGGGGUGUGGACUAUAGGUGAACUGGUCCAGUGUGUAUCCUGGAAUCCAUUGCCGGAGCUUCCAAUUUUUGGCAAUUGCUGCGGGCCAAGAUAUCCUACUUCUUAACACAGGACUGGUAAUGUAAAAGACCAGGAGAAGAUUAAGGAACUUCUCCAGGUUGAAGUAUCUGGGACAGCAGGUGACUUUGGUUGGUUUGUUACCAUUUUUAUGCAACUCUGAAGUUCAGACAUGUUUGCUGACAUUUUGACUUGGUGAAGAUUGAGCUCAUCACGAUUUAACAAUUCAAUGAGGAGUCCUCAUUGGAUUGGGAUUCUUUUCCUCAUUGAGCAAGUAGUUUUAUCCCCUUGGUGUCCUAUAUUAAAUAUCUCUUUUCUUUUCAGAAUAAUUAGUAGUCUUAGUUUUAAAUUUUUGUGUGAAUUCAUUUUCUUUUUCCUAUUAUUAAUAAGGUCAUUCUGUUUUGUGUUUAGACAUUUAC